UUUGGACCCCCACAAAGAGCCCAGGAGACAUUCCGGUCACUGAAAAAUGGUGCCGUUGACGCGAGCUGCGGGUGACUGAUUUGGGUGCGUCACUGGGGCAUCAUGUUUUGGGGUAUUUUAUGGCAUUCAGAUUAAAAUGUUAACGUUUUUUUAUUUAUUCGGGGAGUUGCUGCUGCUGAUGAGCACUACCGGUUGGUAGGCAUUUUUCCUUUCCCAGCUUGGGAAGUGGGAUGUCAUUCGACGCCGCUUUAUAACAAAUUUUGAAGCUUGAAAGAAGAAAUUGCAUGAUCUCGUUCCCCUCCGCCUCGCGAUUCAACCUUGUUCGAUCUUUAUCCACCUUCAAGGUACGCAUGUUACCCCUCUUUUUUCUCUCUUUCUUUGUUGUCUUGGACUUCGAUUUGGAGCGUUCUUCGUUUUUUCUCUUGUAUUCUAAGGAGCGGCCAGUUUGGUUUUGGGCCUUUUGGCUGGAAAAACCUAGUUAUGUUAGACCGGUCAUGCAUGCCCGAUCUUUAUCUCUCCUCCUUGCGGGAUGGCAAAACUAAGACUCUG
rnacentral:lncRNA from 1 species